AGAGUUUGAUCCUGGCUCAGGAUGAACGCUGGCGGCAUGCCUAAUACAUGCAAGUCGAACGAGAGGAAGGAAAGCUUGCUUUUCUGAAUCUAGUGGCGAACGGGUGAGUAACACGUAGGUAACCUGCCCAUGUGCCCGGGAUAACUUCUGGAAACGGAUGCUAAAACCGGAUAGGUAGCAGACAAGCAUUUGACUGCUAUUAAAGUGGCCUUGGCCAUGAACAUGGAUGGACCUGCGGUGCAUUAGCUGGUUGGUGAGGUAACGGCCCACCAAGGCGACGAUGCAUAGCCGGCCUGAGAGGGCGGACGGCCACAUUGGGACUGAGACACGGCCCAAACUCCUACGGGAGGCAGCAGUAGGGAAUUUUCGUCAAUGGGGGGAACCCUGAACGAGCAAUGCCGCGUGAGUGAGGAAGGUCUUCGGAUCGUAAAGCUCUGUUGUAAGAGAAAAACGGCACUCAUAGGGAAUGAUGAGUGAGUGAUGGUAUCUUACCAGAAAGUCACGGCUAACUACGUGCCAGCAGCCGCGGUAAUACGUAGGUGGCGAGCGUUAUCCGGAAUGAUUGGGCGUAAAGGGUGCGUAGGUGGCAGAUCAAGUCUGGAGUAAAAGGUAUGGGCUCAACCCGUACUGGCUCUGGAAACUGAUCAGCUAGAGAACAGAAGAGGACGGCGGAACUCCAUGUGUAGCGGUAAAAUGCGUAGAUAUAUGGAAGAACACCGGUGGCGAAGGCGGCCGUCUGGUCUGGAUUCUGACACUGAAGCACGAAAGCGUGGGGAGCAAAUAGGAUUAGAUACCCUAGUAGUCCACGCCGUAAACGAUGAGAACUAGGUGUUGGGGGAAUAACUCAGUGCCGCAGUUAACGCAGUAAGUUCUCCGCCUGGGGAGUAUGCACGCAAGUGUGAAACUCAAAGGAAUUGACGGGGGCCCGCACAAGCGGUGGAGUAUGUGGUUUAAUUCGAAGCAACGCGAAGAACCUUACCAGGCCUUGACAUCCCUUGCAGAGGUAUAGAGAUAUAUCCGAGGUUAUCAAGGAGACAGGUGGUGCAUGGUUGUCGUCAGCUCGUGUCGUGAGAUGUUGGGUUAAGUC
rnacentral:rRNA from 1 species